UAUACCGUGAAACUGCGAAUGGCUCAUUAAAUCAGUUAUCGUUUAUUUGAUAGUACCUUACUACUUGGAUAACCGUGGUAAUUCUAGAGCUAAUACAUGCUGAAAACCUCAACUUCGGAAGAGGUGUAUUUAUUAGAUAAAAAACCAACGCCCUUCGGGGCUUCUUGGUGAUUCAUGAUAACUUUACGGAUCGCAUGGCCUUGCGCCGGCGACGGUUCAUUCAAAUUUCUGCCCUAUCAACUUUCGAUGGUAAGGUAUUGGCUUACCAUGGUUUCAACGGGUAACGGGGAAUUAGGGUUCGAUUCCGGAGAGGGAGCCUGAGAAACGGCUACCACAUCCAAGGAAGGCAGCAGGCGCGCAAAUUACCCAAUCCCGACACGGGGAGGUAGUGACAAUAAAUACUGAUACAGGGCUCUUUUGGGUCUUGUAAUUGGAAUGAGUACAAUUUAAACCUCUUAACGAGGAACAAUUGGAGGGCAAGUCUGGUGCCAGCAGCCGCGGUAAUUCCAGCUCCAAUAGCGUAUAUUAAAGUUGUUGCAGUUAAAAAGCUCGUAGUUGAAACUUGGGUCUGGCUGGUAGGUCCGCCUCACCGCGUGUACUUGUCCGGCCGGGCCUUCCUUCUGGAGAACCUCAUGCCCUUCACUGGGCGUGUUGGGGACCAGGACUUUUACUUUGAAAAAAUUAGAGUGUUCAAAGCAGGCCUUUGCUCGAAUACGUUAGCAUGGAAUAAUAGAAUAGGACGUGCGGUCCUAUUUUGUUGGUUUCUAGGACCGCCGUAAUGAUUAAUAGGGACAGUCGGGGGCAUCAGUAUUCAAUUGUCAGAGGUGAAAUUCUUGGAUUUAUUGAAGACUAACUACUGCGAAAGCAUUUGCCAAGGAUGUUUUCAUUAAUCAGUGAACGAAAGUUAGGGGAUCGAAGACGAUCAGAUACCGUCGUAGUCUUAACCGUAAACUAUGCCGACUAGGGAUCGGGCGAUGUUCUUUUUCUGACUCGCUCGGCACCUUACGAGAAAUCAAAGUU
rnacentral:rRNA from 1 species